GUCCACGCCCUAAACGAUGCACACUUGGUGUGGGCAGUUCAUUCUGUCCGUGCCGUAGUUAACGCGUUAAGUGUGCCGCCUGGGGAGUACGGUCGCAAGGCUGAAACUCAAAAGGAAUUGACGGGGGCCCGCACAAGCGGUGGAGCAUGUGGUUCAAUUCGACGCAACGCGAAGAACCUUACCUGGGCUCGAACGGCUCACGAAAAGCGCCUGGAAAACAGGUGUUUCCCGCAAGGGACGGGAGUCGAGGUGCUGCAUGGCUGUCGU
rnacentral:rRNA from 1 species